UACGUAGGUGGCAAGCGUUGUUCGGAAUUAUUGGGCGUAAAGCGCACGUAGGCGGAUUGCUAAGUCAGGGGUGAAAUCCUGGAGCUCAACUCCAGAACUGCCUUUGAUACUGGCAAUCUCGAGUCCGGGAGAGGUGAGUGGAACUGCGAGUGUAGAGGUGAAAUUCGUAGAUAUUCGCAAGAACACCAGUGGCGAAGGCGGCUCACUGGCCCGGUACUGACGCUGAGGUGCGAAAGCGUGGGGAGCAAACAGG
rnacentral:rRNA from 1 species